ensembl:rRNA 5S_rRNA 5S ribosomal RNA
GCCUACAGCCAUACCACCCUGAACACACCUGAUCUUGUCUGAUUUUGCAAGCUAAGCAUGGUCAGGCCUGAUUUAGUAAUUCGGAUGGGAGAUGUAUGAGGAGUUUUCAGCA